GUCGACGAGAGGACAUGGGAAGCUUGCUUCCUAUGAAAUCGAGUGGCAAACGGGUGAGUAACGCGUAAACAACCUGCCCUUCGGAUGGGGAUAACAGCCGGAAACGGCUGCUAAUACCGAAUACGAUCUUUUCGUCGCAUGACGGAAAGAAGAAAGGAUGGCCUCUAUACAAAGCUAUCGCCGAAGGAGGGGUUUGCGUCUGAUUAGCUGGUUGGAGGGGUAACGGCCCAACAAGGCGAUGAUCAGUAGCCGGUCUGAGAGGAUGAACGGCCACAUUGGGACUGAGACACGGCCCAGACUCCUACGGGAGGCAGCAGUGGGGAAUCUUCCGCAAUGGACGAAAGUCUGACGGAGCAACGCCGCGUGAGUGAAGAAGGUCUUCGGAUUGUAAAGCUCUGUUAUACGGGACGAAAAAGACGGAUGCCAACAGUAUCCGUCCGUGACGGUACCGUAAGAGAAAGCCACGGCUAACUACGUGCCAGCAGCCGCGGUAAUACGUAGGUGGCAAGCGUUGUCCGGAAUUAUUGGGCGUAAAGGGCGCGCAGGCGGUUCGGUAAGUCUGUCUUAAAAGUGCGGGGCUUAACCCCGUGAGGGGACGGAAACUGUCGAACUUGAGUGUCGGAGAGGAAAGCGGAAUUCCUAGUGUAGCGGUGAAAUGCGUAG
rnacentral:rRNA from 1 species